CCAAUAGCGUAUAUUAAAGUUGCUGCAGUUAAAAAGCUCGUAGUUGAAUUUCGGGACCAUCAUGUCGGUCGUGCCUCGGUACGUACUGGCAUUGUUGGUUUCUACCUUCUGACGAACCAUGAUGUCAUUUAUUUGGUGUCGUGGGAAAUCAGGACUGUUACUUUGAAAAAAUUAGAGUGUUUAAAGCAGGCUCACGCUUGAAUACAUUAGCAUGGAAUAGUGAAAUAGGACGUUUGAUUCUAUUUUGUUGGUUUCUAGGAUCGACGUAAUGAUUAAUAGGGAUAGUUGGGGGCAUUAGUAUUCAAUUGUCAGAGGUGAAAUUCUUGGAUUUAUUGAAGACUAACUACUGCGAAAGCAUUUGCCAAGGAUGUUUUCAUUAAUCAAGAACGAAAGUUAGGGGAUCGAAGACGAUCAGAUACCGUCGUAGUCUUAACCAUAAACUAUGCCGACUAGGGAUCGGAUGAUGUUAAUUUUUUAAUGACUCAUUCGGCGCCUUACG
rnacentral:rRNA from 1 species